CUACGGUCAAAACACACUGAAAACGACCGUUCCCGUUCGAUCACUGAAGUUAAGCUGCGUCGAGAUCGGUCAGUAUUUAAAUGGGGGACCGCUUGGGUACAUCGGGUACUGUAA